rnacentral:rRNA from 1 species
AAAACCAAUGCCCUUCGGGGCUCCUUGGUGAUUCAUAAUAACUUCACGAAUCGCAUGGCCUUGCGCCGGCGAUGGUUCAUUCAAAUUUCUGCCCUAUCAACUUUCGAUGGUAGGAUAGUGGCCUACCAUGGUGGCAACGGGUAACGGGGAAUUAGGGUUCGAUUCCGGAGAGGGAGCCUGAGAAACGGCUACCACAUCCAAGGAAGGCAGCAGGCGCGCAAAUUACCCAAUCCCGAUACGGGGAGGUAGUGACAAUAAAUACUGAUACAGGGCUCUUUUGGGUCUUGUAAUUGGAAUGAGUACAAUCUAAAUCCCUUAACGAGGAACAAUUGGAGGGCAAGUCUGGUGCCAGCAGCCGCGGUAAUUCCAGCUCCAAUAGCGUAUAUUAAGUUGUUGCAGUUAAAAAGCUCGUAGUUGAACCUUGGGCCUGGCUGGCCGGUCCGCCUCACCGCGAGUACUGGUCCGGCUGGGCCUUUCCUUCUGGGGAACCCCAUGGCCUUCACUGGCUGUGGCGGGGAACCAGGACUUUUAC